GUCCUUGUAGUGCAACAGAGAGCGCGUUGGACUUCUAAUCCAAUGGUCGUGGGUUCGAAUCCCACCUGGGAUG
rnacentral:tRNA from 1 species